rnacentral:tRNA from 1 species
GUCCCCAUCGUCUAGUCAGGCCUAGGACGUCGGCCCUUCAAGCCGAGAACGGGGGUUCGAAUCCCCCUGGGGACACCA